rnacentral:rRNA from 1 species
UAUGUGAUCGUCUCUCGCAUAUCAAUAAGCGGAGGAAAAGAAACUAACAAGGAUUCUCCUAGUAACGGCGAGUGAAGCGGGAAGAGCUCAAAUUUGAAAUCUUAAAGGGUUUCCCUUUACGAAUUGUAGUUUAAAGAAGUGUUUUCUGUUGAGGUUUUGGUAAAAGUUCUUUGGAAUAGGACAUCAUAGAGGGUGAGAAUCCCGUAUUUGACCUUUACUUUCAACUUUGUGAUACACUUUCAAAGAGUCGGAUUGUUUGGGAAUGCAGUCCAAAAUGGGUGGUAAAUUUCAUCUAAAGCUAAAUAUUGGCGAGAGACCGAUAGCGAACAAGUACCGUGAGGGAAAGAUGAAAAGAACUUUGAAAAGAGAGUUAAACAGUACGUGAAAUUGUCAAAAGGGAAGCGUUUGACACCAGUGUUGUUUUUCUGAAAAUCAAUUAAAGAACUGUUUAUGCUAAGCUGUUUAGACUUUAUCAGCUAUCUGUUUAGUUUUGAGCUUUUCUUUAAUGCACUUUUCAGUUAACAAGUCAACAUCAAUUUCUUUUGCUGUAAAAAAGCUUGAGGAAGGUGGCUUGAGAUUCGUCUUAAGUGUUUAUAGCCUCUUGCCUAUGCAGUCGGAGAGAUUGAGGUCUGCAGCGUAGAUCCUUCGGGGCUAAAUGCAUUUGUGCUAAGUUAUAGCAUUUUAUAGACAACUUGUUGACUAUGAUUUGUCUUGUAGCUUACUCGCUUAUGUUAUUUUACCUACGCUUAGGAUGUUGAUAUGCAUGACUGAUAU